rnacentral:rRNA from 1 species
GUGAGGAAUAUUGGUCAAUGGGCGGGAGCCUGAACCAGCCAAGUCGCGUGAAGGAAGAAGGAUCUAUGGUUCGUAAACUUCUUUUGCAGGGGAAUAAAGUGCGGGACGUGUCCUGUUUUGUAUGUACCCUGAGAAUAAGGAUCGGCUAACUCCGUGCCAGCAGCCGCGGUAAUACGGAGGAUCCGAGCGUUAUCCGGAUUUAUUGGGUUUAAAGGGUGCGUAGGUGGUUUGAUAAGUCAGCGGUGAAAGUUUGCAGCUUAACUGUAAAAAUGCCGUUGAAACUGUCGGACUUGAGUGUAAAUGAGGUAGGCGGAAUGCGUGGUGCAGCGGUGAAAUGCAUAGAUAUCACGCAGAACUCCGAUUGCGAAGGCAGCUUACUAAGCUACAACUGACACUGAAGCACGAAAGCGUGGGGAUCAAACAGGAUUAGAAACCCCAGUAGUCC